GCUUACGGCCAUAUCAGCCUGGGUACGCCCGAUCUCGUCUGAUCUCGGAAGCUAAGCAGGGUCGGGCCUGGUUAGUACUUGGCUGGGAGACCGCCUGGGAAUACCAGGUGCUGUAAGCA
rnacentral:rRNA from 1 species